GUAUAUACUUUAUAUCUAAAUUUAUUUAUUUAUUUAUUUAUUUUGAGAGAUAGAUAGCACACUAUCCGAACCUAGGACCUCGAGUAUCAACCACGAAGUCUUUUGCCACUUGCUCCAGGGACACUCGGUAUUUUAUAUUUAAAUUUAAAAAUUAAAUUCUAAUUACUUUUCUAAUUAUUUUAUUGAGCUAGGUUGGUAUACUAUCGGUAGUACGGAGACCUCCGUGCUACCAAGUUGUUUUUAAUGAUGCGGCUUCCAAAUCGACGAUGGGCUCCGUUAGACUUAAUCUAUAAAACUUAAAGUACUUGAAAAUUAAAUUUUAUUAUUUUUCGGCAUCAUUUACCGAUCAAACGAGUAGUUUAAAAAUGAACGGCUGAAAAUAAAAAUCUCAUAAAAAAUAAUGAUAAAAGACUUGAAUUUAAUAUCAGAGGUACUGAUCUUACUCUAAAUAGUGAAAAAAAAUUUCUAUAAAAAUUUCAUCAGAUUUGAAUUGUUUUAUACUAUUAAAUUCACAAAUGCAUCACAUCUACCGUUAAAAUUGUUAAUUUUGAGACCUUUUGAUUACUAGCUAAAUGAUGUCGAAAAAUUAUGAAAUUUAAUUUCCAGAUACUUUUAAUAGUGUAGAUCAAGUCUAACGGAGCCGAUCGUCGAUUUGGGAGCCACAUCAUUGAAAACAAUUUGGUAGCACGGAGGCCUCCGUGCUACCGAUAGCAUACCAGUCUAACUCUAUUUUAUUUAUAUAUUUUAUUUUUUAAUUUAAUUUGGACCGGUAAUAGAUGUUUAGUUUCAUUACUUCCGAAUGCAAAUCAGUUUGUCCAAAAUAUUUUCUAUUAUAAAUUUCGACUAUAUCAAAAUUUCUAAAAUCAUUCAAUAUUAUUAGAGUUUAAACUAUAUUUAAUUAUUUGAUUAUUAUGUAAAGUUUAAUUUAAUAUUGUUUAGUUAUUUUUCAUAUUUUGGCUUAGGGGUGGUAAUCCAGCUCGUUUUCAGCUGAAAAUAAGCUAGAGAUCAAAUUGCUCAUUUAUUAAACGAAUCGAAUACGAACUGAAUUUUUCAGCUCGUUUAAUAAACGAGCCAAAUACGAACUGGGAUCAGCUCACUCGUGUUCGGCUCGAUAAUAGAUCUAAUAUAUAUAUUUUAUAUUUAUGUAAUUUAUUAAUUUAUAUAUAUAUAUAUAAUAUUUUUUAUUAUUUAAUUUUUAGCAAAAAAAACAAACUCAAUUAUAAAAAUAGCUCAAAAAUAAA
rnacentral:lncRNA from 1 species